CUGUUCGAAAAGGAACCGUCAAGGGUUAGGGCUCCCGCGUGAAGAGGGUGGGCUUAGCUGUCACGUGAUGGGUUAAGAUGGCGGUUUCUACGGAAGGCACAGAUCUGGAGGCCUCAUUACUGAGUUUUGAAAAAUUGGACCGAGCAUCACCAGACCUCUGGCCAGAGCAGUUACCAGGUGUUGCUGAAUUUGCAGCUUCUUUUAAAAGUCCCAUCACUAGUUCUCCUCCCAAAUGGAUGGCUGAAUUAGAAAAUGAUGAUAUUGAUAUGUUGAAAGAACUGGGCAGUCUCACCACAGCUAAUCUGAUGGAAAAGGUGAGAGGUCUACAGAAUCUUGCAUAUCAGUUGGGACUGGAUGAAUGUGACCCCAUCUGUGUAUUAGACAACCUUCACAAAAAGCAAGGGCAAUCUGAAUGCACACAAGCACAGUGCAAAAAUGGUGCCUGCAAACAUCCAGCGCAAUAGAAUGUCCCCUGCAGAUAAAUUAACCCCUGGUGAGGUGACAUGUUAUAUGAGCAAGAGAAAUGACUCGAGGGAAAUUCCUGAAUAUCCUGGAAAAACCCAGAAAGUAGCUGUUGCUGGAAUAUGGAAGGAAAUACACAUGUCUACCAGAAGACUACCUGAAUUUCCACAUAUGCUGAAAUGCAAGACCAGCAUGCUGCCUUAAGCUUCCAGAAAUGCUUCCAUGUCUCAUCUCAUAUCUGAAGAGAAGCAUUCCAGAUGAUUUUGGCAAGGACUACCGCUAGUUCCCUUAACAGUUUGCUCUCCUGCCUGUGGGUGCUUCUGCACAUCUUGCCAGAAGAAUUUGAUGUAACAGAAUUUUAUGUCAUGAUCUAGUCAAAAACAAUGAUCACCACUGUAGCUAGUAGAAGCAUAGAUUUGAAAUUAAAAGCAAGGGGUGGUGGUGGUGGUGGUGGUGAGGACUGUGUGUGCCCCAGGGCGAUGUAUCACAAGGCUCGUGUGUGAGUGUAAAUCCCUGUCUCUCACUUGGAACAAGAACUUUACAGCUACCAUGUUGAAAAGCACUGCUGGUAACAAGUAUGGUUUGGGAUAAAAGCUGACCAAUGGUGUAUUUGUUUGGUUUUAACCUUGGCUAAUCCUGAGACUGAGGAACAUUUGUUACUUUCCUACAAGGUAACAUUCUUAUUAGCUAUACACACUGACGAAAAGCAGGUGUGAGUUCUCUUUUUUCUCUCAUCGCUCACAUAGUGUCAGAUGCCAAUGUGUUAGGGAGCCACAUGCCAAGAUAGAUUUUUUUUCAUCUUUACUUUUAUACUAUUCUAUGACUAGGGUGGAGUGUGGAAUGUGAGAAGUGCCCCACUAAUUGAUGAAAGAAAACACUCCUAUACAAAUGAAACUUGUGCCAUAUACCGAAAUCCACUUCUCCUGUUUUAUAUUCAGUUUGGCUCAGCUGGAGAGUCUUAUCACUGAAAAAAGUAAUUUUAUAAAAGGCACAGUAAUGCCUUUUUAUGACAGAACAGCCCAAAAUAGAAUUUGCCUUGACAUCUUAGACUGCCUCUGCAUAGUAUUGGUUUUUACAGCUCUAGAAGAUAAUUCUGCAAACAUGUUUCUCUUCCAAAAAUAAUGUGAGAGAAAAACCUUGAUUAUGUAGUUUGUUACCUCUUUCUUCAGGAAUUAUUCAAAAUUAUUAGAAUAAGGUGCUAAUGACACUUUUGGGGACAAUCCAGCAAGAGCUGAGCAGUUUUCUGUCCCAUUGAUGUCAGUGGAAAAGUAGAGCAUAAGCAUAUGUUUCUCCCACCAUAGGAGAACAGUGAGAUCCAAAAGAACCUCAUUUUGGUUGGAUUGUGACCUCUGUAAAUCAUUAGGAGAUACUUGCAUCUAACAGGUACUCUGUAAGCAGUUCUGUGUUCAAGCAUUUCAUACAAUGCAUAAGUGAAAAAGAUCUUUGUUGCAGGGCAGACAAAGCAAAUUAUUAGUUUCAAACUUAAAGCUUUGUAUUUGUAUAUUCAGUGCAGUGGGGGCUUCUCUCAUUUUUAAGCAUUAGUAGUUCAAUAAAGUUUUUGGCCUUCUUGAAGUAGAUGAGGGAUUUUUUCCCCACAUGAUCACUUAUUUGCAGGAUUGUGGUUCAAACAUGAGAAAGCUGCAUGUAAGCUGGUAAGGGAACAAAUGCAAGUAGCAGACAUUACCUACCCAAUAUGUGUGAAUAUAUUGGGCAUAUAUGUGUGUGAAUCAGCCCAAACUGAACAUUUUUACAUUGCUGCAAUUUCAAUGUGACAGAUUUAGGUAUGUUCCCAACUCCCACAUGGCAAAUAAUCAAAUCUGAAAUUAUUUGGCUUCUGCUGCAUUAUGCUGUAUAUGUUUUGUUUAUAUAUUUGAAGUCCUUAAAACAUGUUCAAAUCUGUUAAACUGAAAAAAUUAAGCAACACUUGUGGGAAAUCCAUGUUGCAAGCCCAGUCAUUAAUCACACAUUUGGUUAGUUGUUAAUUAUUCUGCAUUUGAAAGGAUUUAUUUUUAUUCUGGUAAUACAUCUGCCAUAGACAGACCAGGAAGGUGUAUUUGAUUCAGAGCUGGGAUAUUUAAAUAUUUAUAUUUUUCAUUCAUAGAUAUGUUGGAGAUAUAUUUUUAUAGAUAGCAUUAUUACUUAUUGUAUUGCCCUGAACAAGAGACCUCUGUUAUGGCUCUGUUCUAAAUAAAGAUAAAAAAAUGCAUAUUUUUUUAAAGCUGUCCUUUAAAAUAUGGAAAUUUUUUUCAUCACAGGCAUUUAAAAACUGUCACAUUUGAUCUUAUGCAUCCUUAUUUGAAAAUGCCCUGUUGAAUUUUGGACUUUCACCCAAGUAACUGCAUAAACCUCAAUGGGAGUAAGUCCCAUUGGAUCCAGUGAGACUUGCUUCUAUGUAUAGUUACAUUGGCCUGUUAGCAUCUUCAGCCACUUAAUUUGAAAAAUGUUAAAGUUGUGUUAGAGAACUAUCUUGAAAGAAAAUUGUCCACUGAUAUCUCUUACCUAUUUUGAGGCAUAGAUGAAACAGAAGCAAAAAACUGUAUUUACUAUAUUUUUAUGAUUCAAUAUUCUUCUUACAAAUGCAAAAGGAUGAAAGCUCAGUUUCUUUGACAUUGGGAUGAUUGUUCAUAGAGCUUCAUCUGUAUUUAUACUUUUAGGUUGCAAUCCUGUACACUCUUACUGAGAAUAAGCUUCAUUGAACUUAGUUGAGUCACAGCUCCAAGUAAACAUACAUAGGUCAGAUGCACAAUUUCUUCCACUAAAACAUUUUACAAGGGCUGUAUUAGUCCAUUAGCUCAGCUGUGUAUUAAUCUAUGUUUCAAUUACGACAUUGUGCUGUAAACGAAACUAAUUGUUUUAAAAUUUUGAAGGUAAAACAUGUUAUGUAUACAGUGCCUUGCAGAAGUAUCCCCUCUUUUUGACAUUUUGACAUGUUGUGACAUUUUGUUGUGCUACAACCUGGAAUUUAAAUGGAUUUAAUUGAUAUUGUUACCUCUUCCUGUACACAAGAUACUCAACAUUAUGAGAGUGUAGAAUAUUUUCAUUGUGGUAGAAAAGAUAAAUAAACAAAAACAAACUGGCA